UACGUAGGGGGCAAGCGUUGUCCGGAAUCAUUGGGCGUAAAGCGCGUGUAGGCGGCUCGAUAAGUCUGCUGUGAAAGUCCAGGGCUCAACCCUGGAAUGCCGGUGGAAACUGUCGGGCUAGAGUCCGGAAGAGGCGAGUGGAAUUCCUGGUGUAGCGGUGAAAUGCGCAGAUAUCGGGAGGAACACCAAUAGCGAAGGCAGCUCGCUGGGACGUUACUGACACUGAGGCGCGAAAGCGUGGGGAGCGAACAGG
rnacentral:rRNA from 1 species